UACGAAGGGGGGCUAGCGUUGCUCGGAAUCACUGGGCGUAAAGCGCACGUAGGCGGCUUUUUAAGUCAGGGGUGAAAUCCUGGAGCUCAACUCCAGAACUGCCUUUGAUACUGAGAAGCUUGAGUCCGGGAGAGGUGAGUGGAACUGCGAGUGUAGAGGUGAAAUUCGUAGAUAUUCGCAAGAACACCAGUGGCGAAGGCGGCUCACUGGCCCGAUACUGACGCUGAGACGCGAAAGCGUGGGGAGCGAACAGG
rnacentral:rRNA from 1 species